rnacentral:rRNA from 1 species
GACGAACGCUGGCGGCGUGCUUAACACAUGCAAGUCGAACGGUAAGGCUCCAGCUUGCUGGGGUACACGAGUGGCGAACGGGUGAGUAACACGUGGGUGACCUGCCCUGCACUUCGGGAUAAGCCUGGGAAACUGGGUCUAAUACCGGAUAGGACCGCACCGUGAGGGUGUGGUGGAAAGUUUUUUCGGUGUGGGAUGGGCCCGCGGCCUAUCAGCUUGUUGGUGGGGUAAUGGCCUACCAAGGCGGCGACGGGUAGCCGGCCUGAGAGGGUGGACGGCCACAUUGGGACUGAGACACGGCCCAGACUCCUACGGGAGGCAGCAGUGGGGAAUAUUGCACAAUGGGCGGAAGCCUGAUGCAGCGACGCCGCGUGGGGGACGACGGCCUUCGGGUUGUAAACUCCUUUCACCAUCGACGAAGGGUUUCUGACGGUAGAUGGAGAAGAAGCACCGGCUAACUACGUG